GAUGAACGCUGGCGGCGUGCUUAACACAUGCAAGUCGAACGGAAAGGCCCUGCUUUUGUGGGGUGCUCGAGUGGCGAACGGGUGAGUAACACGUGAGUAACCUGCCCUUGACUUUCGGAUAACUUCAGGAAACUGGGGCUAAUACCGGAUAGGAGCUCCUGCUCCAUGGUGGGGGUUGGAAAGUUUCGGCGGUUGGGGAUGGACUCGCGGCUUAUCAGCUUGUUGGUGGGGUAGUGGCUUACCAAGGCUUUGACGGGUAGCCGGCCUGAGAGGGUGACCGGCCACAAUGGGACUGAGAUACGGACCAGACUCCUACGGGAGGCAGCAGGGGGGAAUAUUGCACAAUGGGCGCAAGCCUGAUGCAGCAACGCCGCGUGCGGGAUGACGGCCUUCGGGUUGUAAACCGCUUUCGCCUGUGACGAAGCGUGAGUGACGGUAAUGAGUAAAGAAGCACCGGCUAACUACGUG
rnacentral:rRNA from 1 species